rnacentral:rRNA from 1 species
UACAGAGGUCUCAAGCGUUGUUCGGAUUCAUUGGGCGUAAAGGGUGUGUAGGUGGCGCGCUAAGUCGGGUGUGAAAUUUCGGAGCUUAACUCCGAAACUGCAUUCGAUACUGGCGUGCUUGAGGACUGGAGAGGAGACUGGAAUUCAUGGUGUAGCAGUGAAAUGCGUAGAGAUCAUGGGAGAGACCAGUGGCGAAGGCGGGGUCUCUGGACAGUUCCUGACACUGAGACACGAAGGCCAGGGGAGCAAACGGG